rnacentral:rRNA from 1 species
GACGAACGCUGGCGGCGUGCCUAAUACAUGCAAGUAGAACGCACAGUUUAUACCGCAGCUUGCUACACCAUAGACUGUGAGUUGCGAACGGGUGAGUAACGCGUAGGUAACCUGCCUGGUAGCGGGGGAUAACUAUUGGAAACGAUAGCUAAUACCGCAUAAUAUUAAUUAUUGCAUGAUAAUUAAUUGAAAGGUGCAAUUGCACCACUACCAGAUGGACCUGCGUUGUAUUAGCUAGUAGGUGAGGUAACGGCUCACCUAGGCGACGAUACAUAGCCGACCUGAGAGGGUGAUCGGCCACACUGGGACUGAGACACGGCCCAGACUCCUACGGGAGGCAGCAGUAGGGAAUCUUCGGCAAUGGACGAAAGUCUGACCGAGCAACGCCGCGUGAGUGAAGAAGGUUUUCGGAUCGUAAAGCUCUGUUGUAAGAGAAGAACGGGUGUGAGAGUGGAAAGUUCACACUGUGACGGUAUCUUACCAGAAAGGGACGGCUAACUACGUG